UGGCUGUGUGGCCCUGCUGGCAGAGCAC
rnacentral:sRNA from 1 species